AGCAGCCAGCUCUCCAGGAGCCCCUCUGGCCUGUCCCCAGGGCUUGUGUUCCCCAAGGUACUCCCAAAACCCCUGGGGUUUGGGCUGUUGGUGAGAGCAGGCCAGCAAAUGCCAUGCUGCAUUUAUGGGACAAAGGAAAAGCAGCAGCAAAAACCCUUCUUUUCUUCUGGAUUUGUGGAAAACAGGAAGGAGAGAGGCUGAGGUCCAGCACAGUGAGAUAUAAAUCUUUGAUGCUGCAAGAUUA